UACGCGCUCUUUUAUCUUUCAGAUUUCUCUAAAUGUCUGCCAACAGCUCAGGUUCUGCAGCGGACACCUCUAUUCCUCAGUCCAACAUCAUCCAAGCCUCGUAUUUAAUUGUGAUCAUCUUGAUCUCAGUUUUGGGAAACUUGGCUAUAAUCGUCGGAAUCAUAAAAAAACAUUUACUGGACAACGUAACCAAUUGUUUCAUACUCAAUUUGUGCAUUUCUGAUCUUCUAAAUGCUUCGCUAAAAAUGACGACAUCAGUUGCCGGACUCUUUGAUCGUGAUUGGUAUCCUAGCAACGCGAUUUGCUACUUUACGACACCUUUCGGAGUCCUUUUCGGCGCAGCGUCGGUCCUGAGUCUGACAUCGGUCGCCGUCGCACGGUAUCUAAUGAUCGCGAUGCCUUUCACAUAUGCAAGCAAGGUGACCCCCUCCGUGGCGAAAUUCAUAUUAGGUGGGGUAUGGUUGGAGAGUGUCCUUCUAUCCUUCCCUCCAGUGACAUGGCGCCCGGCUGGAAUCAUAUGUCGAAGUGGGGCAGUCUCAGAUGCAUAUUACACCUCCGAGUUAAUUUAUAUCAUCUUCCUAUGGCUAUUCGUCAUCGUCUUCCCCUCAGCUAUCAUGCUGACGUCCUACAUACGUAUAUUUGGUGUGACCAGUUAUCAAAUACGACGUAUCUCAAUCACGGAAGAAGACGCAAUAAAAGGACGACACAUUCUACGCAGACGACGAGAAGUACACGCGGCGAUUGUCUUAGCUCUGAUCGGAGGCAUUUUUAUCCUGUGUUGGUUCCCCUUCUUUGUCAUCCUGACCAUGCACAAGUUUGCUUCUGGAAAAAUAGAGCCAAUGUCCUUCACGAUUUUCCUAUGCUGGAUGUAUACAAACUCCGCUCUAAAUCUCGUACUUCUAAUCUUGUUUAACAACGAGAUACGUACGGCCGUGCGCCGAGCGUUUCCGUGUUUAUACCGGGUCGAUCCCGAGAACAGCACAUGCUCGCCGAGUUGUUCGUGAAA